UACGGGGGGGGCAAGCGUUGUUCGGAAUUACUGGGCGUAAAGGGCUCGUAGGCGGCCAACUAAGUCAGACGUGAAAUCCCUCAGCUUAACUGGGGAACUGCGUCUGAUACUGGAUGGCUUGGAUCCGGGAGAGGGAUGCGGAAUUCCAGGUGUAGCGGUGAAAUGCGUAGAUAUCAGGAAGAACACCUAUGGCGAAGGCAGCACUCUGGGACGGUACUGACGCUGAGACGCGAAAGCGUGGGGAGCGAACAGG
rnacentral:rRNA from 1 species